CCUACGUGGGGCAGCAGUGAGGAAUAUUGGUCAAUGGGCGCGAGCCUGAACCAGCCAAGCCGCGUGAAGGAUGACUGCCCUACGGGUUGUAAACUUCUUUUAUAAAGGAAUAAAGUGAGGCACGUGUGCCUUUUUGUUUGUACUUUCUGAAUAAGGAUCGGCUAACUCCGUGCCAGCAGCCGCGGUAAUACGGAGGAUCCGAGCGUUAUCCGGAUUUAUUGGGUUUAAAGGGAGCGUAGAUGGGUUGUUAAGUCAGUUGUGAAAGUUUGCGGCUCAACCGUAAAGUUGCAAUUGAUACUGGAGGCCUUGAGUGAAGUUGAGGUAGGCGGAAUUCGUGGUGUAGCGGUGAAAUGCUUAGAUAUCACGAAGAACUCCGAUUGCGAAGGCAGCUUACUAAACUGCCACUGACAUUGAUGCUCGAAAGUGUGGGGAUCAAACAGGAUUAGAUACCCUGGUAGUC
rnacentral:rRNA from 1 species